UUCUUUAUAGAAAACAAAAGAUAAAUUAAUUAAAGGAUAAACUUCAAAUACCCCCCGUGGUUUCAUACAUUCUGACUUGGUACCUUGUGGUUUAAAGUGUAUCAAGUUAGUCCCUGUGGUUUCGAACUUUCUCACUUUAGUAUCCUAUGGUUUGAAGUGUAUCAAGUUAGUACCAUGUGGUUUCAUUUUUCUCUUUUUAUUAUUCAUUUCACUAUUUUGUUUCGUUAAAUCAGUGACAAAGUUGAAAUUAAAAGGUACUAAAGUGAAUAUUUAAUAAACCUAGGUAAGGUAUCUGAAGUUUUUUGUAUAUAAUAUAACGAAAUAUUAACGGAGGAAAAAAAAUCAGUGAUAAAGUUAAAACUAAAAGGUUCUAAAGUAAAUAUUUGAUAAACCUAGAUAGGGUAUCUAAAGUUUUUUGUAUAUAAUUUAACGAAAUAUUAACGGAGGAGCCGGCGAAAAGAAAAAAAUGAAAUUACAGGAUAUUAAAUUGAUGCACUUUAAACCACAUGGUACUAAAGUGAGAAAAUGCGAAAUCACAGGGUAUUAAAUUGAUGCACUUUAAACCACAUGGUAUUAAAGUAAAAAAUUACAAAAUUACGGGAGUGGUAUUUGAAGUUUACCUUAAGUACUUAAUUUAAAAUUUAAAGUCAAAGUACAGCUAACUGAUUCAAAUUAAACAAACUAAAAAAUCAGAGAGUAAAAUAAAAAAUUAUGCAAAAUUGUAUAGCUAUUUCAAAAUAAUCCAUAAUGUAGAUAAGUUGUG
rnacentral:lncRNA from 1 species